rnacentral:rRNA from 1 species
CCCUUUGAUACUCUGGGCGGUACGCGCGCUACACUGGUUUAUAUAACGUGUAAUUUGGACGAUAGUCUGUAUAAAUCACUAAUAUAAAACCGUGAAUGAGAUAGUUUAUUGCAACUUACAAACUUUAACUAGGAAUCCCUUGUAGAAGUAGUGAAUUAUACUGCUUCGAAUACGUCCCUGCCGAUUGUACACACCGCCCGUCGUUUCUUCCGACUGGUACUCAUUGUGAAUUGCGAGGAGAUUCUGUCAAAUCGUUGUAAAUGCUGGGUAUUGGAGGAAGAAAAAGUCGUAACA